GAUGAAGAACGUAGCGAAAUGCGAUAAGUAGUGUGAAUUGCAGAAUUCAGUGAAUCAUCGAAUCUUUGAACGCACAUUGCGCCCCUUGUAUUCCAUGGGGCAUGCCUGUUCGAGCGUCAUUUGUACCUUCAAGCUUUGCUUGGUGUUGGGUGUUUGUCUCGCCUUUGCGUGUAGACUCGCCUUAAAAUAAUUGGCAGCCGGCGUAUUGAUUUCGGAGCGCAGUACAUCUCGCGCUUUGCACUCAUAACGACAGCGUCCAAAAGUACAUUUUACACUCUUGACCUCGGAUCAGGUAGGGAUACCCGCUGAACUUAAGCAUAUCAAUAAGCGGAGGA
rnacentral:misc_RNA from 1 species